AUAAAUUUCUACCACUGAGAUGAUGAACCUAUUCAGUUGAGCGGCAGUGCAGCGGGAGACAUAGCUGUUAAUGUUAAUUUUAAGAAUUUGGUUAUCUGGAAUUGGAUAUGAAUGUAACAGGCAGAAGGAGGCAUCCCCAACCUAUCUGUCCGUAUGAUUUCAGAGACUAAUAAAAUAAGUUUGGAACCCUUCAUGGAGGAUUUGGAGUGCAAACGCUCAUAGUUACUUGAAUGGACCGACACACGACAUUUCCUAGUCCAAUUUUUUCAGGCUUCAGGUUUCAA